UUAUUACCUUGUGAUGGUCGUUG
rnacentral:siRNA from 1 species